rnacentral:rRNA from 1 species
UACGGAGGGGGCUAGCGUUGUUCGGAAUUACUGGGCGUAAAGGGCGCGUAGGCGGCCAUUCAAGUCGGAGGUGAAAGCCCAGGGCUCAACCCUGGAAUUUCCUUCGAUACUGUUUGGCUAGAGACCGGAAGAGGUAAGUGGAACUGCGAGUGUAGAGGUGAAAUUCGUAGAUAUUCGCAAGAACACCAGUGGCGAAGGCGGCUUACUGGUCCGGUUCUGACGCUGAGGCGCGAAAGCGUGGGGAGCAAACAGG